CGUCGUGAGACAGUUCGGUCCCUAUCCGGCGCGGGCGCAGGACAUUUGAAAGGAGCUGUCCUUAGUACGAGAGGACCGGGAUGGACCGACCGCUGGUGUAUCUGUUAGGUAUCAGACCUAUGGCAGAGUAGCCAAGUCGGGCCGGGAUAAACGCUGAAGGCAUCUAAGCGUGAAGCCCCCCUUAAGAUGAGAUGUCCCAUGCGAAAGCAGUAAGACCCCUUGAAGAGAACGAGGUAGAUAGGGCAGAGGUGGAAGUACGGUAACGUAUGGAGCUGACUGUCACUAAUCGGUCGAGGGCUUGACCAG
rnacentral:rRNA from 1 species